UACGAAGGGAGCUAGCGUUGUUCGAAAUCACUGGGCGUAAAGCGCACGUAGGCGGAUUUGCCAGUCAGGGGUGAAAUCCCGGGGCUCAACCUCGGAACUGCCUUUGAUACAGCAAGUCUUGAGUUCGAGAGAGGUGGGUGGAAUUCCUAGUGUAGAGGUGAAAUUCGUAGAUAUUAGGAAGAACACCGGUGGCGAAGGCGGCCCACUGGCUCGACACUGACGCUGAGGUGCGAAAGCGUGGGGAGCAAACAGG
rnacentral:rRNA from 1 species